UUAAAUUGAAGAGUUUGAUCAUGGCUCAGAUUGAACGCUGGCGGCAGGCUUAACACAUGCAAGUCGAACGGUAGCAGGAAGGAAGCUUGCUUUCUUUGCUGACGAGUGGCGGACGGGUGAGUAAUGCUUGGGGAUCUGGCUUAUGGAGGGGGAUAACGACGGGAAACUGUCGCUAAUACCGCGUAAUGUCUAAGGACUAGAGGGUGGGACUUUCGGGCCACCUGCCAUAAGAUGAGCCCAAGUGGGAUUAGGUAGUUGGUGGGGUAAAGGCCUACCAAGCCGACGAUCUCUAGCUGGUCUGAGAGGAUGACCAGCCACACUGGAACUGAGACACGGUCCAGACUCCUACGGGAGGCAGCAGUGGGGAAUAUUGCACAAUGGGGGGAACCCUGAUGCAGCCAUGCCGCGUGAAUGAAGAAGGCCUUCGGGUUGUAAAGUUCUUUCGGUGAUGAGGAAGGGUGAUGUUUUAAUAGAACAUUACAUUGACGUUAGUCACAGAAGAAGCACCGGCUAACUCCGUGCCAGCAGCCGCGGUAAUACGGAGGGUGCGAGCGUUAAUCGGAAUGACUGGGCGUAAAGGGCACGCAGGCGGUGACUUAAGUGAGAUGUGAAAGCCCCGAGCUUAACUUGGGAAUUGCAUUUCAUACUGGGUGGCUAGAGUAUUUUAGGGAGGGGUAGAAUUCCACGUGUAGCGGUGAAAUGCGUAGAGAUGUGGAGGAAUACCGAAGGCGAAGGCAGCCCCUUGGGAAAAUACUGACGCUCAUGUGCGAAAGCGUGGGGAGCAAACAGGAUUAGAUACCCUGGUAGUCCACGCUGUAAACGCUGUCGAUUUGGGGAUUGGGCUUUAUGUUUGGUGCCCGUAGCUAACGUGAUAAAUCGACCGCCUGGGGAGUACGGCCGCAAGGUUAAAACUCAAAUGAAUUGACGGGGGCCCGCACAAGCGGUGGAGCAUGUGGUUUAAUUCGAUGCAACGCGAAGAACCUUACCUACUCUUGACAUCCUAAGAAG
rnacentral:rRNA from 1 species